rnacentral:tRNA from 1 species
GGCUCCACAGUGUAGUGGUUAGCACGUCUGAUUUACACGCAGAAGGUCCUGGGUUCGAGCCCCAGGGGAGCCA